GAUGAAGAACGCAGUGAAAUGCGAUAAUUAAUGUGAAUUGCAGAAUUCAGUGAAUCAUCGAGUCUUUGAACGCACAUUGCGCCCCCUGGUAUUCCGGGGGGCAUGCCUGUCCGAGCGUCAUUGCUGCCCUCAAGCACGGCUUGUGUGUUGGGCUUCCGUCCCUGGCAACGGGGACGGGCCCAAAAGGCAGUGGCGGCACCAUGUCUGGUCCUCGAGCGUAUGGGGCUUUGUCACCCGCUCCCGUAGGUCCAGCUGGCAGCUGGCCUCGCAACCAAUCUUUUUAACCAGGUUGACCUCGGAUCAGGUAGGGAUACCCGCUGAACUUAAGCAUAUCAAUAAGCGGAGGA
rnacentral:misc_RNA from 1 species